rnacentral:rRNA from 1 species
AUUGAACGCUGUCGGCAGGCCUAACACAUGCAAGUCGAACGAGUGGCGGACGGGUGAGUAAUGUCUGGGAAACUGCCCGAUGGAGGGGGAUAACUACUGGCAACGGUAGCUAAUACCGCAUACCAUCGGAUGUGCCCAGAUGGGAUUAGCUCGUAGGUGGGGUAACGGCUCACCUAGGCGACGCUCCCUAGCUGGUCUGAGAGGAUGACCAGCCAAACUGGAACUGAGAAACGGUCCAGACUCCUACGGGAGGCAGCAGUGGGGAAUAGUGCAAAAUGGGCGCAAGCCUGAUGCAGCAAUGCCGCGUGUAUGAAGAAGGCCUUCGGGUUGUAAAGUACUUUCAGCGAGGAGGCGUUACUCGCAGAGGAAGCACCGGCGAACUCCGUGCCAGCAGCCGCGGUAAUAC